UUGACAUAACCCUGUAUGUUUUGCAGGGACAACCCAGGACGUGCAUUUCUCAGCACCCAGUCAACUGCCAAAAGUGACUCAAACACAGGCCACCAGUGGAACUCUGCUGUACCACUGCAGUGCUGCGGAAAUUGCCUUCACCAGCGGCUUUGCAACAGCUGUUUCGCAGCAUGUCGGAGACAAUGCCUACGAAAUUAUUGGCCCUGAUGACGAGAGCCCUCAAGGGGCAAACGACAUCUCUGUUGCAGAAGUGAGACCGAUACCACCUGAAGUUACCAUGACAGGUGACACGGCAGCAAUAGAUACAGAGACGGCCAUGUCUACUGCAGCUGCAACAGUGUACGAGGCAAGCAGCAGUGUGUCAGCAUCAGCAGCAGUGUCGGAAGGAACCGCACCAGGCCUGGUAGAGCAACAUGUGUGCUAUCACUGACUUUUCUUGUAGUGCAUACAACUCAUUUGCUCAACAUACAAAAGCUUUUCACCACGACUGUGAGCCAGUGUUAUUGUGCAGCAAGUGCAAGACUAAGUUAGGUGUUAUAACACAGUACAAGCAUCACUUUAAUAUAUGCAAAUGCAAACAUAUUACAGUUGUUGCCUCCCCAGCCAGCCCACAUAGUGACAACAAUGUGGAACACAUGGUGGGACACACCUCUCCCCCAUUACAAGAUAGUAGAGACUGUCAGUGUUGUUGCUAGAUUGACUGGUCUUUGUAGGCAACUAGAAGGACAACAUAGGUGUCAUAAGAUUGUUGUUGAUGUUGUUGAAGAGGUAAAAAAGAAGUUUGAUGCAGCUGAAGUGCCAACUGAUAUUGAGCAAAUCAAAAGCAACGACCUGAGAAAGCAACCCUAUCGAAAUUUGGGUAUCUAUGUGCCGCCAACUCUGGUAAGAAUGGCAUAGGACAGAAGUGUGAUGAAAAUCACAGAGACACUGCUGUUGCAUCACUGGCCACAGUGAGCAGCGACUUGUAGGGCAAGAGAGUCAACUGAAACUAACAUUAUGAUAUAGUGUCAUGCUCCCAUGUGACCACUUUUCAAGUUAUUUUGCAAGAUACAGCUCAACCUCCAGAAACGAGACUGCAACUUGUCUGUAAAAAAGCUUUCACAAAAAAUUAUUCAUAACACUAUUAACAUAGCAGUAUCUUUUUUUUUUGUGUCGGUUCGAGGUUCCCGGCUGUCCAUUAAUGCAAAAAUUGAGGAAAAAAAGAACAUGUGUCGUACUUACACCUUUUUAACAAGUACGAGGGGGACAGAACUUUUCUAGUCAUGCAUCUUCAUCAUGCUAUCAAGUUUUUAAAUGCCUUUUAUAAUUAUUAUCACCAGUUAUAUCUGAGUGCAUUGUAUGCAUGUAGCAGGUGUAAAAUCAGGUCAGUUGGAUCAGAUGCCUUAUCUGCAAGCGAGCCCUAUAUUCAAGAAAUUUGAAUUAAAAUAGUUACGUUAGAGACGCAGUCUUUCAGCACUUUAUUGCCUGUGGUUUAAGCAUUGCUCAAUACUUUUGUGGGUGGCAAUUUCAACCGGCACAGCACUGCGCUUUGCCACAGUCACAUUUGUCUUCAAAGCGGUGUUUACCAUUUGUGUUGGUCUGUUUGUGUAUGCAUAGAGCAAGUUUUUAAUUUAUAUUUUUCUGCAUUCUUGUGCUUGCACUAAGCUUGUAUAAGGCAGUUACAAAAUGUGCGUCACUAUAACGAACUGUUCUGUUGAGCUUACACUUGCAAAUAAUCGUGUUCAGAUGGCCGCACUUCUAUGCGGGUGCACUGCUAGCUUUGUGUAUGUUCUCAUGCUUGUACAAAGCUUAUAUAAGCUAGUUAGAAAAUGUAUGUCACUAAGCAUUGUGAUAUUCUUUAAAGAACUGCUUGGUUGGUUUUACACUUGUGAACUAGUAUUGAGGCAGUGGUAUUCCCAUGUGUGCCCACUGCUAGCUUUCUGUGUCCUCACGUGUUUGUAUUAAGUUUCUACAAGGGAGUUACAGCAUGUACGUCACUAAGCACUGUGAUAUUUUUUAAAGAACUGCUUUGUUGGUUUUACACCUGUGAGUAAUAGUACUCGGGUGGCACUAGUCAUGUGUAGGUACACAGAAACCAUUUGUAUACAUUAUGCUCAUGUAAAGCAGUUACAAAGUGUAUGUCACUAAUUACUGUGAUAUUUGUUGAAUUGCUGUGAUGGUUUUACACAUGUGAAUAAUAGUGGUCAGGACACAGUACUUGCGGUGUAUAGUUGAAUUUAUACACUGCCAAGGCAUGGGCUGUAUACAUACCAAAAGAAAUGUAUGUCAUUAUAUUGUUGUGAUUGUUACUGUUUGGAUUUUAUUAAACUGUAAUAAAAU
rnacentral:lncRNA from 1 species